rnacentral:SRP_RNA from 1 species
GCCGGGAGUGGUGGCUCACGCCUGUAAUCCCAGCACUUUGGGAGGCUGAGGUGGGUGGAUCACCUGAGGUCAGGAGUUCGAGACCAGCCUGGCCAAUAUGGUGAAAUCCCGUCUCUA